AAAUUCUGCCAAUUCCUUCCAGCCUUACUCAAAUAGGGGGUGGAAGAACUACUGAAAGUAAUCCAUAAGAUUUAAUACCUUUCCGGCUAUAGUAUAGGGAAGGGCGGAAUAGAUCAUCAGAGGGUGGAAAUUUCCUCCAAUCGGAAUACUUGCUUUUCCAUAGGGAUGAAAAACUUAAUGGGGGGGAACACGCGGGAUGAGCGACAAUCGAC
rnacentral:lncRNA from 1 species